AAAUGAACCAAAUAAUUCCAAGAAAAUAAAAACUAUAAACAGAGCAAAUAACUGGCAAAGGCUUGCACGUUAGACCAAUCAAUAACCAUUGUUUUUGAACAAUAAUAUAUUUCAAUUAUUUCAAAAAGAAUUAUGUACCAUGAUAAAUAGAAUAAUGCAGAAACGUGGUUCAAUUCCUUUACAAGUCGCGUUUUACUGAAUCAAUUAAAAUCGUGUGUAUCGUGUCUCCACUCUUUCUUCUCCUUCAGACUCGACUCCGAGUGAACCCGGGACGACUCGGUGGCAACUCGCUCACCUACUUGCCAUCUCCGGGGCAGGAUCGAUUCAGCUCAGCAACUCCGUACUGCUCCUCUCAUGAGAAAAGCAAGAAAAAACGACGAAAAUACGAAAAAUUAUCUCAAUUUCAUGUUGGGAACGUCAGAAUUUGUUAAUGUAGGCUGUGCAAGUGAGCUAAAUCGAACGAGUGAACCCGAGUCAAAAUCCGAGCAAUUUGUUGAAGUCUAUUUAGCAUAUAGACUUGUCAGAAUAUAAAAGCGGCCGUGACUCGGCCCAGAACUCCAUGUUGCUUCUGAUUCCGACAUGGCAGUAUCUUUGGAAAUCCUCAAAGCUCAUGAAUCGGGCCGAAUUAUUUUGAUUCGAUUCCUUGCGGGCCAAGUAUCUAAGGAUCUCUUCAAAGAGUGAUUCAUCGCAAGGAAUGGUCAGUGGGCCCGAAUUGGUGAAUCCAUAUUCCUCCUCGGCCUGGAUCAACAGUUUCUUGAAAACUGGGUGGUUUAGGUAUGCAGUUCGAACGACGAAUCUUUUGCAGGUGGUGCCGACGGCGACAGCUACGUGUCCGGCCGGGACGUCCGAGGGUGCGCUGCGUGAGGCGGCGGCGGCCUUCAAGCGCCACCGCUUUAGCAUCUGGCGGAGCCGAACAAUGUGGCGGAUUUUGCUGCAGGCAGACAUGUCUUUUUGUUUGAAUUUGUUCAGUUUUUGUGUUGAAUGAAAGAAUGAGGAGGUUAACCGAGGGAUCAAAG
rnacentral:lncRNA from 1 species